rnacentral:miRNA from 1 species
UAGGGUGACCAACCAGCCUGGUUUGCCUGGGACUGAGGGGUUUCCCACGAUGUGAGAUUUUAAAUGCUAAAAGUAGGACAGUC